AGCAGCCGCGGUAAUUCCAGCUCCAAUAGCGUAUAUUAAAGUUGUUGCAGUUAAAAAGCUCGUAGUUGAAUUUCGGGGUUCAUCCGUUGGUCGGGCUUUUUGGUCUGUACUGGCGUGAUGGAUUCCUACCUUCUGAAUAACCAGCAUGUCAUUAAUUUGGUGCGCUGGGGAAGCAGGACUGUUACCUUGAAAAAAUUAGAGUGCUUAAAGCAGGCUAUCGCCUGAAUACAUUAGCAUGGAAUAAUGAAAUAGGACGGCAUGGUUCUAUUUUGUUGGUUUCUAGGAUCACCGUAAUGAUUAAUAGGGAUAGUUGGGGGCAUUAGUAUUCAAUUGUCAGAGGUGAAAUUCUUGGAUUUAUUGAAGACUAACUUCUGCGAAAGCAUUUGCCAAGGAUGUUUCAUUAAUCAAGAACGAAAGUUAGGGGAUCGAAGACGAAUCAGAUAACCGUCGUAGUCUUAACCAUAAACUAUGCCGACUAGGGAUCGGACGAUGUUAAUUUUUUAAUGACU
rnacentral:rRNA from 1 species